ensembl:snRNA U1 U1 spliceosomal RNA
GCUGAGAUAUCACGAUCAAGAAGGUGGUUCACCCAGGGCGAAGCUCAGCCAUUGCUUUGUUUGUGCUGACCCCUGUGAAUUCCCCAUAUGUGAGAAUCUUGACAGU